GUGUCAGCCGCCGCGGUAAGACGAACCGAGCGAACGUUGUUCGGAAUCACUGGGCUUAAAGGGCGCGUAGGCGGGCUGUCAAGUCUGGGGUGAAAUCCCACGGCUCAACCGUGGAACUGCCUUAGAUACUGACGGCCUCGAGGGAGAUAGGGGCGAGCGGAACUGUGAGUGGAGCGGUGAAAUGCGUUGAUAUUCACAGGAACUCCGGUGGCGAAGGCGGCUCGCUGGAUCUUUUCUGACGCUGAGGCGCGAAAGCUAGGGGAGCAAACGGGAUUAGAUACCCCAGUAGUCC
rnacentral:rRNA from 1 species